CAGCAGCCGCGGUAAUACGAAGGGGGCUAGCGUUGCUCGGAUUUACUGGGCGUAAAGGGCGCGUAGGCGGACAGUUUAGUUGGGGGUGAAAGCCCGGGGCUCAACCUCGGAACUGCCUUCAAUACUGGCUGUCUUGAGUACGGGAGAGGUGAGUGGAACUCCGAGUGUAGAGGUGAAAUUCGUAGAUAUUCGGAGGAACACCAGUGGCGAAGGCGGCUCACUGGCUCGAUACUGACGCUGAGGUGCGAAAGCGUGGGGAGCAAACAGGAUUAGAUACCCCUGUAGUCCCUGUCUCUUAUAC
rnacentral:rRNA from 1 species